CAGAGUUUUCUAAACUCCAAACCACUGUGAACUUACCUUCUGUUGCCUCGGCGGCAGGCCUCAUCUUCGGGUAGGCUGGCCGCCGGUGGACUACUAAACUACUGUUAAUAUUUGUCAUUCUGAAUACAAAACUUAAUAAGUUA
rnacentral:misc_RNA from 1 species